AACGAACGCUGGCGGCAUGCCUAACACAUGCAAGUCGAACGAGACCUUCGGGUCUAGUGGCGCACGGGUGCGUAACGCGUGGGAACCUGCCCUUAGGUUCGGAAUAACUCCCCGAAAGGGGUGCUAAUACCGGGUAAUGUCCUCGGACCAAAGAUUUAUCGCCCUUGGAGGGGCCGGAGUUGGAUUAGCUAGUUGGUAGGGGAAAAGCCUACCAAGGCGUCGAUCCAUAGCUGGGCUGAGAGGAUGAGCCGCCACUCUGGGGGUGGGACACGGCCGAGACUAUUGCGCGAGGCAGCAGAGGCGGAUAUUGGACAAUGGGCUGAAGCCUGAUCCAGCAAGGCCGCGUGAGUGAUGAAGUCCUUAGGGUUGUAAAGCUCUUUUACCCGGGAUGAUAAUGACAGUACCGGGAGAAUAAGCACCGGCUAACUCCGUG
rnacentral:rRNA from 1 species